UCUGAAUAAACGUUGGCAUCGCCAUCUAGAAGGUAUAACCGAAUGUAUCGGAAGGUCAGACGUAAGAAUAUUGUUCCAUUCUUAAUUGACGAAAUCGAUAAACUUACAUAUAUGAGUUCGUAAUGUUAGUGUACAUUACAUAUAUAUUUAGUAAAAGUGAUAUUGUGAUGUAGCUACAGUUUUGGUAUCAGUUACGUAUAUAACAUCAUCGAAGUAACGUCUCGUGUAACAUUAUUAGACUUUUGUAUUACUUAUCUAUAAAAUAAUAUAAAGUAUUUUUAUUAGUAUUGAAUGUUCUAAAUACAUUCUUUACUUUUUCAAGAAUCAGAAUUUUCUUCACGGAUUGAUCAACUAUCUUACUAUACAGAAAAUUUUAUAAAUAUUCUAUGUAAAGAAGUCUGAUGAAAUGAAAGAAUUAUUUACACUAUAAGGAAAUGUAUUAAAGAAAUUUAUCCUAUUAAUAAUCAAGUAAUAUCAAAAGAAUACAAAUGUCUGUAUUAUCAAAUUCAACAAAACAAGUAUUACAAAAUACAUCAUCUCUUUCAAUGGAAAUACAAGAUGGUAAUACUACAAUGUGUAAUAAGAAGAAGCAAGAAAAAAAUAUUGGGAGCAAUGGUAUAUCUAAUGCACAAAGAGUAUGGACAAGUUUGUUAUCAGGUGCUAUUGCAGGAGCAUUGGCAAAAACGACAAUAGCACCUUUAGAUCGCACAAAGAUAAACUUUCAAAUUUCAAACAAACCAUUUUCGGCAAAAGCAGCAAUUAAAUUUUUAAUAAAAACUCUUAGAACAGAAGGUUUACUAAGUUUGUGGCGUGGAAACAGUGCUACUAUGGUUAGAAUAGUUCCAUAUUCUGCUGUUCAAUUCACAGCCCACGAGCAAUGGAAAAGAAUCUUAGGAGUAAAUGGAUCAGAAAGAGAAAAACCAGGAUUGAAUUUUCUUGCCGGUUCUUUAGCGGGUAUAACAUCGCAAGGUACAACUUAUCCCCUGGACUUGAUGAGAGCAAGAAUGGCUGUGACACAAAAGACUAAAUACAAAACCUUACGACAAAUAUUUGUACGCAUUUACAUGGAAGAAGGAAUAGCGGCUUAUUAUCGUGGAUUUACUGCAACGCUACUUGGUGUCAUUCCUUAUGCUGGUUGCAGUUUCUUCACCUAUGAUCUACUCAGGAAUUUAUUGACUGCAGGGUACCCGUGGGGCACAUCGGGGCUGUUUCCCGAUAUUGGGACAAUACUUACUUUAAUAGCGACGCUUGUCGAGACAAGUCCGAUGGCUGUGUUUUUCAAGUACGUGCUUCAUGUUCGAUGAUGGCUACGUGUCGAUGAACAGUGUACACGGUGGCUAUUCCUGGCUUCUCGACAUCACUGAUUUGCGGCGCCAUUGCCGGAAUGGUUGCUCAGACUAGCAGCUACCCUUUGGACAUUAUUCGGAGAAGGAUGCAGACUUCGGCGAUGCAUGGUCAACACUAUCACACGAUCAGAUCAACUAUCACAAAAAUUUACAAAGAAGAAGGUAUAAUGGCCUUUUAUAAAGGACUAAGUAUGAACUGGAUAAAAGGUCCAAUUGCUGUAGGAAUUAGUUUUGCAACACAUGAUACGAUCCGCGAUACAUUAAGAAAAAUUAUUAUUUGCCAAAAUACUUCAUUAAAAACAUAAAAAUGAUAUAUGCAAUUAGAAAAACUAAUAAGAAACGUCUAAUUAUCUAUUAACAUAAGGCAUCUAAUUAAAAAAGCAGUAAAUAUAUUUUCAUCUGCUAAAAAGUCCUUUGAAAUAUAGAAUGUUUGAUAAAAAUUGCAUACAAACUUUAUCAUUGUUCUGCUACUAAUAAUAGUUAUAUACUAGCAAAAUUUGUACAAAAAUCUAUCAAAUACUCAGACAUCAAUAUAUAUAAAAUUUAUGAUCAUAAUUAAUAGAUUCAUGUAAUGUAGUAAUGAUUUAAUAAAUAUUAUAGUUUUCAAAGGACAUAUUUUUAAAAGAAUAGAAAAUAGUACAAAUUGUUGAUGUACAUAUUGUUAAUCAAAAUGUUAUAAAAAUUGUUAAAUUACUAAAAAAUGCAUGUCAUAUAAGUAUAUAAAUCACUAAAAAGCAAAACUAUAUUGCGCAAAUAUUAACAUUUAGUUUAUUUGUAAUGUGGAUAUUAUGCAUAACAAUGCAACUGCCCUCACAAAUUGUUUUUUAAUCAUUGAUAAACAAAAUAUAGAAAUAUUUUUUUCAUGAAUUUCAAUAAUCAUAAAAACAAUUUUAAAAAACUACAUAUACAUUUUCUCACAUUAAAUUACAGAUAUACAGAUAUAAUAUCUACAAUUAUUAAUGUGAUAGUAACAGAAUAGUAGUUGUUUUAUAUUAUUGACUAAAUAGUCAUUAAAUUUUGUAUAGAAUAACAGCAUUAUUUUAACAAUAAUAAUUAAGUUCUGACAAUAAUUUUAUAAAUAUAAAUGUGCAAUAUUAACAAUCAGCACAAUUAUUUAUACUGAAACAAAUUAUUAUAAAAAUUAUUCAUAUCUAAUUUUUUUUUAUAAAUGAUCUAUAAUUAUUUUAUAAGUUUAUAAUGGUCCAAAUUAUUUUAAUAUUGUAUACAUUUGAAUUAAUAUUUCAUAUACUGUAAAUUUUUAUUCAAAUAUAUUUUAAUUAGAAUAAAAUA